UAAUCCACCAGCGAGAUUCGAACUCGCGACCCCUGGCUUACGAGACCAGUGCUCUAACCUCUGAGCUAUGGUAUC
rnacentral:tRNA from 13 species